AUGGAAGAGCUUCUCAAGCACCUUACCGAGGUCAGCAUCUGCCAGCAACAAAUUGUUGAACAUCUCGCCAGCCAUCAAGGGGAGACGGAACGCGAGCUCGCCAUCCUCCAGGCAGGCCGACACGCUCCGCCGCCUGAUCCCCGUGUCCAGGCAGUGCAGCUGAUACCCAAAAUGACCGAUGAUGAUGUGGAGAUGUUCCUGCAGAUGUUUGAGAACGUCGCCAUACGAGAGCGUUGGGAACGCCUGGGCUGGGCACGACUGCUCGCACCCCUCCUGUCUGGCGAAGUGCAGCGCGCCUACUUCUCCCUCCCACCCGAGAUCAGUGUGCGUUAUGAGGAACUGAAGCGGGAAAUCCUGUCUUGGGUGGGAUUGUCGCCGAUCGCAGAACUCUCCCGGCUAGUGCAGCACUGGCUGCUGGCCGGGGAUCCCACCGCUAGCCAGGUGGCGGAGCGUGUGGUUAUUGACCGGCUCCUGCGCGCACUACCCCGUCCCCACUGUCAAGCAGCAGUAAUGCGGAACCCCACUACUCUCGGCGAGCUGGUGGAAGCCGUCAAGCUGGCGGAUGCGGCCCAACGACGAGAGGCUGGGGAGCGAGCGCCGCCAUUUCCUAGGAGGGUGGUCCAGGAGCGACGCAAGCCGGAGGGCACCUCACGACCAGUGAGCAGGCCGGCAGCUCCCACACCCCAGGACGAGCUCAUGCCCACCGAACCACCCCGCCCUUCCAUGCGGAUGGGGCUGGCAGGCUGCAUCGUCCACCGCGCCCCACCCGUGGGGGCCCCACGAGCCGAGGUGAAAAUAAAUGGCCACCCGUUGGAAGCUGUCCUGGACUCCGGGAGUGCGGUUAGCCUUGUCCACCCCACCGUCUUGUCCCCCUGCCCGGAGUCUAGAGCCCGCCUGGCCAUCACGUGUGUCCAAGGGGACACCCAAGAAGUGGCGGCACGUCGGGUCACCAUUUCGGCAUCUCCAGGAUCUUGGCCGGUUGAGGUGGGGAUCGUCAAGGACCUCCCUGUGCCAAUGCUCCUGGGGAGGGAUUGGCCCAGGUUUGACCGCCUCCUUCUUGCUGCCACCCAGCCUGCCAGCCCCUGUGGGAGUGGGAGUCAAACGGUUUAAUCAGACCCUCAAACAAAUGCUGAGACAUGUGGCCACUGAAGACAGACGUGAUUGGGACCAAAUAAUGCCCUACAUCCUCUUCGGCAUCCGAGAGGUCCCGCAAGCGGAGACCGCCUUCUCCACCCCAAGUGGCCACUGGCAAUACCGGACCCUACCGUUCAGCUUGCAUGGGGCGCCGGCGACCUUCCAGCGAAUGAUGGACAUCCUUCUGCCGCCCCAUCAAGCCUAUGCGGCCGCCUACCUGGACGAUGUCGUCGUCCAUUCCGAGCGGUGGGAGGACCACCUUGAACGGCUCCGGAGGAUGCCAGGAGAGCUUCGGAGGGCAGGACUUACUGCCAAAGCCUCAUCAGCGUCGCCCUGGAAACGCACGAGGAGCACCUGGAAAACUCGUCACCGGCUGAUCGGUCACGGCUGCUGACAAUCAACAUAAGCCGCCGCCACUGACACACAAGUGAGUGAUCACUCCAGAAGACUGGAUGCUAACGCUGUUCUUUGUGUUCCUCUACAGAGAGCUUGUGACCGAUCAGCACCCCACGCACGGACAUGCCGCACCUGGAACACCACCACGAUCAGUGCACCAGCACUUCCCACUUCCGACCACUAACGUUUGUUUUAUUGUAAUAAAUCCACCCUCCAGGGCCUUAUUUUGCACUCCUCGCUGUCGUGUGAUUCUUCACUCCAUUACUAUGUAUAUAUAUAUAUAUAUAUAUAUAUAUAUAUAUAUAUAUAUAUAUAUAUAUAUAUAUAUAUACAGGUGCUGGUCAUAUAAUUAGAAUAUCAUCAAAAAGUUGAUUCAUUUCACUAAUUCCAUUCAAAAAGCUUGUAUAUUAUAUUCAUUAAACACAGACUGAUAUAUUUCAAAUGUUUAUCUCUUAAUUUUGAUGAUUAAAAUUGACAACUAAGGAAAAUCCCAAAUUCAGUAUCUCAGAAAAUUAGAAUAUUACUUAAGACCAAUACAAAGAAAGGAUUUUUAGAAAUCUUGGCCAACUGAAAGGUAUGAACAUGAAAAGUAUGAGCAUGUACAGCACUCAAUACUUAGUUAGAGGUUCCUUUUGCCUGAAUUACUGCAGCAAUGCGGCGUGGCAUGGAGUCAAUCAGUCUGUGGCACUGCUCAGGUGUUAUGAGAGCCCAAGUUGCUCUGAUAGUGGCCUUCAGCUCUUCUGCAUUCUUGGGUCUGGCAUAUCGCAUCUUCCUCUUCGCAAUACCCCAUAGAUUUUCUAUGGGGUUAAGGUCAGGUGAGUUUGCUGGCCAAUUAAGAACAGGGAUACCAUGGUCCUUAAACCAGGUACUGGUAGCUUUGGCACUGUGUGAAGGUGCCAAGUCCUGCUGGAAAAUGAAAUCUGCAUCUCCAUAAAGUUGGUCAGCAGCAGGAAGCAUGAAGUGCUCUAAAACUUCCUGGUAUAUGGCUGCGUUGACCUUGGACCUCAGAAAACACAGUGGACCAACACCAGCAGAUGACAUGGCACCCCAAACCAUCACUGACUGUGGAAACUUUACACUGGACCUCAAACAACGUGGAUUGUGUGCCUCUCCUCUCUUCCUCCAGACUCUGGGACCCUGAUUUCCAAAGGAAAUGCAAAAUUUACUUUCAUCAGAGAACAUAACUUUGGACCACUCAGCAGCAGUCCAGUCCUUUUUGUCUUUAGCCCAGGCAAGAUGCUUCUGACACUGUCUGUUUUUUAAGAGUGGCUUGACACAAGGAAUGACAUGAAAGCCAUGUCUUGCAUACGUCUGUGCGUAGUGGUUCUUGAAGCACUGACUCCAGCUGCGGUCCACUCUUUGUGAAUCUCCCCCACAUUUUUGAAUGGGUUUUGUUUCACAAUCCUCUCCAGGGUGCGGUUAUCCCUAUUGCUUGUACACUUUUUUUCUACCACAUCUUUUCCUUCCCUUUGCCUCUCUAUUAAUGUGCUUGGGCACAGAGCUCUGUGAACAGCCAGCCUCUUUUGCAAUGACCUUUUUGCCCUCCUUGUGCAAGGUGUCAAUGUUCGUCUUUUGGACAACUGUCAAGUCAGCAGUCUUCCCCAUGAUUGUGUAGCCUACAGAACUAGACAGAGAGACCAUUUAAAGGCCUUAGCAGGUGUUUUGAGUUAAUUAGCUGAUUAGAGUGUGGCACCAGGUGUCCUCAAUAUUGAACCUUUUCACAAUAUUCUAAUUUUCUGAGAUACUGAAUUUGGGAUUUUCCUUAGUUGUCAGUUAUAAUCAUCAAAAUUAAAAGAAAUAAACAUUUGAAAUAUAUCAGUCUGUGUGUAAUGAAUGAAUAUAAUAUACAAGUUUCACUUUUUGAAUGGAAUUAGUGAAAUAAAUAAAUAAAUAAUAAUAAAUAAACUUUUUGAUGAUAUUCUAA
ensembl:lncRNA